rnacentral:lncRNA from 1 species
AACAAGUGUGGCGUCCGGCGGUUUCCCACAAAUCGCAUUACCGCCCGAUGGUAGGGGUCUACCGCCCGGUGGUUUCCCUCAAAUCGCAAAACCGCCCAACGCCAAUGCCAGGUGCCUACUCCUCACCCUGGACCGCCCGACGAUGGAAUUUGCCACUGGCGUGGCGUCGACUCUUCAAUUCUUCAAUUUUCUUCUCUUUCCUUGAGCUACGACCUUUAUCUUCA